GAUGAACGCUGGCGGCGUGCCUAAUACAUGCAAGUCGAGCGAACGGACGAGAAGCUUGCUUCUCUGAUGUUAGCGGUGGACGGGUGAGUAACACGUGGAUAACCUACCUAUAAGACUGGGAUAACUUCGGGAAACCGGAGCUAAUACCGGAUGGUAUUUUGAACCGCAUGGUUCAAAAGUGAAAGACGGUCUUGCUGUCACUUAUAGAUGGAUCCGCGCUGCAUUAGCUAGUUGGUAAGGUAACGGCUUACCAAGGCAACGAUGCAUAGCCGACCUGAGAGGGUGAUCGGCCACACUGGAACUGAGACACGGUCCAGACUCCUACGGGAGGCAGCAGUAGGGAAUCUUCCGCAAUGGGCGAAAGCCUGACGGAGCAACGCCGCGUGAGUGAUGAAGGUCUUCGGAUCGUAAAACUCUGUUAUUAGGGAAGAACAUAUGUGUAAGUAACUGUGCACAUCUUGACGGUACCUAAUCAGAAAGCCACGGCUAACUACGUG
rnacentral:rRNA from 1 species